GUGGGUAUAGCUCAGUGGUAGAGCAGGUGUUUAGCAUGCACAAGGUCUUGGAUUCAAUUCCCAGUACCUCCA
rnacentral:tRNA from 1 species